rnacentral:rRNA from 1 species
AUGGCGGCAGCGAAGGCGGCGUUGGAGAAGAUGAGGGCGUUCUGGGACUCGCAGUGCAACAACGAGGAGAACUGGGCGGUCAACUAUAAGGUGCUAAAGGCUGCUGGUAUAUUUGCUGGAUCUGUCUUCCUGAUGCACAACUUUGGCCAUAAUAUGGUCAUCUAA